GAAAUGCGAUAAGUAAUGUGAAUUGCAGAAUUCAGUGAAUCAUCGAAUCUUUGAACGCACAUUGCGCCCGCCAGCACUCUGGCGGGCAUGCCUGUUCGAGCGUCAUUUCAACCCUCAGAACCCCUUGCGGGAUCUGGCGUUGGGGAUUGGCAUCCAGCCAGCCCCGAAAUCUAGUGGCGGUCCCUCCGCGACCUCCCCUGUGCAGUAGCGAUACCUCGCAGCGGGACAGCGGUCUGACCACGCUGUAAAACCCCCAACUUCUCAAGGUUGACCUCGAAUCAGGUAGGAAUACCCGCUGAACUUAAGC
rnacentral:misc_RNA from 1 species